AGAAGGAGCUUCUAUUUGCUUUGUAGGUAUUGAAGAUCAGCAAGUACUUGCUUAGUUACAACCACAUAGAGAUUAAGCAUAGUAUGUUGCUAAUAGUAAAAAGGUAGCAAAGUGUUAAAGUAAGUUAUUGUGGUGGCAUCAAGGGUUUAGUUGGAUGAGGUAGAAAUGGAUGUAAUAUCAAAAGGAUGGAAGUUACCUCGUUGGUGCGUAAACCACCACCUAUAAGUAAAGAGUGUUGGAAGUAAGAAUUAUCUUUCUCCACACUUCUCUUAGACUACAAUUCUUACUGAUGUUAAAUGUUUGUAGCUUUUAGACUUCUUUUCUUCAAUAGGUUAUGGACCCACUCACAUUUUCUUGAGUAUUUUUUGAAGUUUUUUGAAGUGGUUUUGUAAGUGUGGAGUAGAUCAACUUGUUGUUGGUGAUGUUAGGCUUUGGAAGAACCUAAUUUUCAGAUUCAGAUCUAGAUCUAAAUCAUGGUUUGCUCUUACUUUUGGUUAAGAGCAUUUUGGUGUUAGUGUCUUGUUUUUCACCUAUAGACAAAGUUUGCAUUGUACUUUUGCUGAGAUAGAUCCUUGGUAAUCUAAUUUUAUGACUUCAUAUCCUAAAGUUGCUGAUUAUGCUUAAAAGGCCUCUUAUGGUGUAUAGAGGUGAUUUGUGAGCAUAAAAGAGAUAUUAGAGUGAAAAAUCAGAUUUGAGACACUUAGAAAAGCCAUCAGACUUGCGACAAGUCUUAGAAGUGAAGUUGAGAGUGUUUUUGAGAGUUAAAACACUAGUUUGUUCAGAAAGAAGGAUUCUAGGAUUCUAAGGCAACAAAACCUUCUUGCUGAUUUUUGAGAGCAUUAAGACUUCUUCUUACAAUCUUUUUUGAUACAACUCUUUCUUAGACAUGGCUUCAAGUAAAGGUGAAGGAUUGAGAGUUAUUGAGAAGUUUAGAAGUGACAAUUUCUACCAUUGGAAGGUAAAAAUAGAGCUUUUAUUGGCGUCUUUGGAUCUUUGGGAUAUU
rnacentral:lncRNA from 1 species